UACGUAGGGUGCGAGCGUUAAUCGGAAUUACUGGGCGUAAAGGGUGCGCAGGCGGUCCUGCAAGUCAGGCGUGAAAUCCCCGGGCUUAACCUGGGAAUGGCACUUGAAACUACGGGACUGGAGUAUGGCAGAGGGAGGUGGAAUUCCACGUGUAGCGGUGAAAUGCGUAGAGAUGUGGAGGAACACCGAUGGCGAAGGCAGCCUCCUGGGCCAAUACUGACGCUGAGGAGCGAAAGCGUGGGGAGCAAACAGG
rnacentral:rRNA from 1 species